rnacentral:rRNA from 1 species
UUGGUCCUACGGGAGGCAGCAGUGAGGAAUAUUGGUCAAUGGGCGCGAGCCUGAACCAGCCAAGUCGCGUGAGGGAAGACGGUCCUAUGGAUUGUAAGCCUCUUUUGUCGGGGAGCAAAAGACGCCACGUGUGGCGUUCCGAGAGUACCCGAAGAAAAAGCAUCGGCUAACUCCGUGCCAGGAGCCGCGGUAAUACGGAGGAUGCGAGCGUUAUCCGGAUUUAUUGGGUUUAAAGGGUGCGCAGGCGGACGAUCAAG